AUUGAACGCUGGCGGCAGGCCUAACACAUGCAAGUCGAACGAGUGGCGGACGGGUGAGUAAUGUCUGUGAAACUGCCCGAUGGAGGGGGAUAACUACUGGAAACGGUAGCUAAUACCGCAUACCAUCGGAUGUGCCCAGAUGGGAGUAGCUUGUAGGUGAGGUAACGCCUCACCUAGGCGACGAUCCCUAGCUGGUAUGAGAGGAUGACCAGCCACACUGGAACUGAGACACGGGCCAGAGGCCUACGGGAGGCAGCAGUGGGGAAUAUUGGACAAUUGGUGGAAGCAGGAUGCAGCCAUGGCGAGUGUGUGAAGAAGGCCUUCGGGUUGUAAAGUACUUUCAGCGGGGAGGCGUUACCCGCAGAAGAAGCACCGGCUAACUCCGUGCCAGCAGCCGCGGUAAGUC
rnacentral:rRNA from 1 species